rnacentral:rRNA from 1 species
GACGAACGCUGGCGGCGUGCUUAACACAUGCAAGUCGAACGAAAAGAGGGAAAGAGCUUGCUCUUUCCGGAAUUGAGUGGCAAACGGGUGAGUAACACGUAAACAACCUGCCUUCAGGAUGGGGACAACAGACGGAAACGACUGCUAAUACCGAAUAAGUUCCAAGGGCCGCAUGGCCCAUGGAAGAAAAGGUGGCCUCUACCUGUAAGCUAUCGCCUGAAGAGGGGUUUGCGUCUGAUUAGCUGGUUGGAGGGGUAACGGCCCACCAAGGCGACGAUCAGUAGCCGGUCGGAGAGGAUGAACGGCCACACUGGAACUGAGACACGGUCCAGACUCCUACGGGAGGCAGCAGUGGGGAAUCUUCCGCAAGGGGCGAAAGCCUGACGGAGCAACGCCGCGUGAGUGAUGACGGCCUUCGGGUUGUAAAACUCUGUGAUCCGGGACGAAAAGGCAGAGUGCGAAGAACAAACUGCAUUGACGGUACCGGAAAAGCAAGCCACGGCUAACUACGUG